AUUGAACGCUGGCGGCAGGCCUAACACAUGCAAGUCGAGCGGAUGAAGGGAGCUUGCUCCUGGAUUCAGCGGCGGACGGGUGAGUAAUGCCUAGGAAUCUGCCUGGUAGUGGGGGAUAACGUCCGGAAACGGGCGCUAAUACCGCAUACGUCCUGAGGGAGAAAGUGGGGGAUCUUCGGACCUCACGCUAUCAGAUGAGCCUAGGUCGGAUUAGCUAGUUGGUGGGGUAAAGGCCUACCAAGGCGACGAUCCGUAACUGGUCUGAGAGGAUGAUCAGUCACACUGGCACGUAGAGACGGUCGGGACGCCGACGGGAGCAGUCAUUGGGGUAUAGUGGAGAAUGGUCGAGAUGCUGAUCCAGCGAUGGCGUGGGUGAUAAGAAGGUCUUUUGGUUGUAGAGUAUUUUAAGGUAUGAGAAAGGACAAGAAGCUAAUACCUUGGUGCUAUGAGCUUACGUACAAAACAAGCAACGGCUAACCGCGUG
rnacentral:rRNA from 1 species